GACGAACGCUGGCGGCGUGCUUAACACAUGCAAGUCGAGCGGUAAGGCCCUUUCGGGGGUACACGAGCGGCGAACGGGUGAGUAACACGUGGGUGACCUGCCCUUAGCUCUGGGAUAAGCCUGGGAAACUGGGUCUAAUACCGGAUAUGACUCCAUGACGCAUGUUGUGGGGUGGAAAGCCUUGUGCGGCUAGGGAUGGGCCUGCGGCCUAUCAGCUUGUUGGUGGGGUGAUGGCCUACCAAGGCGACGACGGGUAGCCGGCCUGAGAGGGCGACCGGCCACACUGGGGACUGAGACACGGCCCAGACUCCUACGGGAGGCAGCAGUGGGGAAUCUUGCGCAAUGGGCGAAAGCCUGACGCAGCGACGCCGCGUGGGGGAUGACGGCCU
rnacentral:rRNA from 1 species